CGGGGUGAGUAAUGUCUGGGAAACUGCCUGAUGGAGGGGGAUAACUGCUGGAAACGGUAGCUAAUACCGCAUAACGUCGCAAGACCAAAGAGGGGACCUUCGGGCCUCUUGCCAUCGGAUGUGCCCAGAUGGGAUUAGCUAGUAGGUGGGGUAACGGCUCACCUAGGCGACGAUCCCUAGCUGGUCUGAGAGGAUGGCCAGCCACACUGGAACUGAGACACGGUCCAG
rnacentral:rRNA from 1 species